rnacentral:rRNA from 1 species
UACGUAGGGUGCAAGCGUUAAUCGGAAUUACUGGGCGUAAAGCGUGCGCAGGCGGUUUUUGUAAGUCUGAUGUGAAAUCCCCGGGCUCAACCUGGGAAUUGCAUUGGAGACUGCAAGGCUAGAAUCUGGCAGAGGGGGGUAGAAUUCCACGUGUAGCAGUGAAAUGCGUAGAGAUGUGGAGGAACACCGAUGGCGAAGGCAGCCCCCUGGGUCAAGAUUGACGCUCAUGCACGAA